UCUGACGGAGCACGCCGCGUGAGUGAUGAAGGCUUUCGGGUCGUAAAACUCUGUUGUUAGGGAAGAACAAGUGCUAGUUGAAUAAGCUGGCACCUUGACGGUACCUAACCAGAAAGCCACGGCUAACUACGUGCCAGCAGCCGCGGUAAUACGUAGGUGGCAAGCGUUAUCCGGAAUUAUUGGGCGUAAAGCGCGCGCAGGUGGUUUCUUAAGUCUGAUGUGAAAGCCCACGGCUCAACCGUGGAGGGUCAUUGGAAACUGGGAGACUUGAGUGCAGAAGAGGAAAGUGGAAUUCCAUGUGUAGCGGUGAAAUGCGUAGAGAUAUGGAGGAACACCAGUGGCGAAGGCGACUUUCUGGUCUGUAACUGACACUGAGGCGCGAAAGCGUGGGGAGCAAACAGGAUUAGAUACCCUGGUAGUCCACGCCGUAAACGAUGAGUGCUAAGUGUUAGAGGGUUUCCGCCCUUUAGUGCUGAAGUUAACGCAUAAGCAUCCGCC
rnacentral:rRNA from 1 species